UCUUAUUUCAAUAUUUCUUUUUUAGUGAUUGGGUAGAUGUCUUUCAAAAUGAAGGUCAAGUCUAUUGCUGUUUGUCGUUUGUUGUGGUCGGUGGGAAUGCAAGUAUAAGUAUUAUUUUUUAGAAUUAUAAGAUUUGAAUUAUCUAGUUCGUCUAAAAUAGCUUGUCCUUUUUGGUCAAUUUUAUCGUCUCCCCAAAAAGUGUGAUGUGCAUUAAAGUCUCCUGUGACUAUGAUUUUUUUGUAGUUGCUAGUGUUAUGUAUUAUUUUUGUUAUUGUAUGUUGAAUUAUUUGUUUAGUGGUCUGUGGUGCUAUGUAAGUUGAGACUAUAACUAAGUUUCCUUCAUGUAGUAGUAGGGCUGUUGUUUGAAUUCCGUCUGUUUCGUCUGUUAGGCUUAUUUGUUUGUAUUUAAUUUGUUUUUUGACUAGGAUGCAACUCCCACCAUAUCCGUCAUCCCUGUCUGAUCGUAUUAUAUUGUAUCCUGUUGUGGUAAUUUUUUUUUUCUUUUUUUAACCAAGUUUCUUGUAGACAUGCUAAGUGAAUCUUUUCCUCAUGUAGUAUAUGAUUUAGUUCUUCUCUGUUUCUUCGCAGGUUUUGUACGUUUGUUUGGAUUAUUUUUAAAUUAUCCAUGUAAGUAAUUAUAUGUGUUCAGUGUAUUGUUUUUGUGGGGAUGUAUCAUGCUCACCAAUUUCUAGAUUAUGUACUUCUGUGUCACUGAAAUAUAUUUGUAGUGAUCGUAGCGACAUCUAUGCGUCAGGCACGGGAACCACUCCACUCACUUAGCAUAGUUCCAAACCGUAUCAACCAGGAGCUAGGAUCGAGCUACCCAACCAGCAAAACCGAAGCUAUUGGAAAACUUUCCUGUGUGCCAAAGCGAGAGAGCAUGUCUUUUUUCUCUAGAUUUUGGACGGCACAACGCCGAUCGUGUGGCCUAUGAACGAAAAACGGGAGAAGGGGAAACCGAUAUCCUUCGAGUGACACACACGCAUGCAUCUGCAUGCGUAUUCCGCUGAACCGAGACUACACAUCUCUCUCGAUCUCCCAUGAUUUUUCUCCUAUCGCGCUCAUCCGGGUGUUAGGCAUCCUCAGUCUGUCCAGAACUUUCACUGUGGAAGGAUGUGUUGGAGUGAUGUGUAAUUUCUUGUGCCCCGUACUUUGCUCGUUUACGUUUUGUACCGUGUUCCAUCUUCUUCAAUUAUGGAAUGAUUUAUCCUUGUAAAUUUCAAAGUUACAGGUGCACGCGCAUGUUAAUCGACGGUUGCAGACGGAAGGACGGUGUCCGGUUUUAAAAUAUCAAGAUAUCAUCACAGCUCUUUCGUAGAAGAGCGCACUUCAAGGACGCCUAGGAUACGGCUAAACAUGCGCAGCACCAGUCCGUGACGUCAUUUCCAGACAGGCGCCGGCUGAACACGCGCAGCACCAGUCGAGGAUAUCCUAGCGCAGAGGGUAGAAGGAAGAACGAGAGGAAGGGUAACAGAAAGCAACCGCAGCAUUUGGAAGGGGUGAAGCAUCCUGCCGUAUACAGAGUGUGAGUGUGCCAAAACGCAUGUGGAAAGAGGAAGUCCAAUAAAUAGCAUGCGAAAGUGUGCAUAAAGCAAAAAGAAAAAGCGUCACUACUAUAACCAGCAAUCCGAAAAUAUAAGGGGAGGGAUAAAUACAAAUGUAUGCGUAAGUAGGACCAGCAAUCCAAGCAUUUGAAUGUGUGCGUCGGUUUGUGCCGUGCUGAAAGUUUUUACUUUAGCUGCUGCUAGUGUAAAAACUUAAGGAAAGCUUAAAGUAAAAAUUUUUUACACGGGGCGCCUUUGGAAAUUGUUGGCUGGGUAGGUGAUAAGAUCAGAUGCGCCGAUCUGAUUACGAGAGAGGAUCGGAUGCGCCGAAGAGAGGAUCGGAUGCGCCGAAGAUAGGAUCGGGUCGCCGAUCUAAUGGAGAGAGGAGAUCGGAUGCGUCGAUCUAGCUAGACGAGAGGAUCGAGUGCGUCGAUCUAGUUAGGGACGGACCACUUCUCACACGCACCUGAACCAAA